AGUGGGGGACAACGUGUGGAAACGCACGCUAAUACCGCAUAAGCUCUACGGAGGAAAACGGGGGAUCUUCGGACCUCGUGCUACUAGAUGGGCCUAUAUUGGAUUAGCUAGUUGGUAAGGUAAAGGCUUACCAAGGCGACGAUCCAUAGCUGGUUUGAGAGAAUGAUCAGCCACACUGGGACUGAGACACGGCCCAGACUCCUACGGGAGGCAGCAGUGGGGAAUAUUGCACAAUGGAGGAAACUCUGAUGCAGCAAUGCCGCGUGUGUGAAGAAGGCCUUAGGGUUGUAAAGCACUUUCAGACGUGAGGAAAAGUUAUCUAUUAAUACUAGAUAGCCCUGACGUUAACGUCAGAAGAAGCACCGGCUAACUCCGUGCCAGCAGCCGCGGUAAUACGGAGGGUGCAAGCGUUAAUCGGAAUUACUGGGCGUAAAGCGCGCGUAGGCGGUUAAAUAAGUCAGAUGUGAAAUCCCUGGGCUCAACCUAGGAACUGCAUUUGAAACUGUUUGGCUAGAGUAUGGUAGAGGUGAGUGGAAUUUCAGGUGUAGCGGUGAAAUGCGUAGAGAUCUGAAGGAACAUCAGUGGCGAAGGCGACUCACUGGGCCAUUACUGACGCUGAGGUGCGAAAGCGUGGGUAGCAAACAGGAUUAGAUACCCUGGUAGUCCACGCCCUAAACGAUGUCAACUAGGUGUGUGAGAGUCUAACUCUUGCGUAUCGAAGCUAACGCGAUAAGUUGACCGCCUGGGGAGUACGGCCGCAAGGCUAAAACUCAA
rnacentral:rRNA from 1 species